rnacentral:sRNA from 1 species
AUUUACGGUAGGUGAGGCUACCGUGGGGAUAUGAUUCCGAAUUAAGAAAUUUGUGAAUCAAGUUGUUAUUUAACUAGGAUUGCUACCGCACAAUAGUGGAGACACUAUGCGAUGGUUAACAGGAUAUGUCGAAACCAAGGCGUAACCUAAUGCAAUUACAAGACAAAAUUUGUCGAGCCCCACGAAGCUAAAGCUUGAACGAUGC